GGGCGCUUAGCUCAGUUGGUCAGAGCACUUCGUUUACACCGAAGGGGUCGGGGGUUCGAGUCCCUCAGCGCCCA
rnacentral:tRNA from 1 species